rnacentral:rRNA from 1 species
AGUGGCGGACGGGUGAGUAACGCGUGAGAAUCUGCCUUGGGGUCGGGGACAACCACUGGAAACGGUGGCUAAUACCGGAUAAGCCGAUUGGUGAAAGAUUUAUUGCCCGAAGAGGAGCUCGCGUCUGAUUAGCUAGUUGGUGAGGUAAGAGCUCACCAAGGCAGCGAUCAGUAGCUGGUCUGAGAGGACGAUCAGCCACACUGGGACUGAGACACGGCCCAGACUCCUACGGGAGGCAGCAGUGGGGAAUUUUCCGCAAUGGGCGAAAGCCUGACGGAGCAAGACCGCGUGAGGGAGGAAGGCUCUUGGGUUGUAAACCUCUUUUCUCAGGGAAGAAGCUCUGACGGUACCUGAGGAAUCAGCCUCGGCUAACUCCGUGCCAGCAGCCGCGGUAAUACGGAGGAGGCAAGCGUUAUCCGGAAUUAUUGGGCGUAAAGCGUCCGCAGGUGGCGAUUCAAGUCUGCUGUCAAAGCACGGGGCUUAACUCCGUAAAGGCAGUGGAAACUGAAUAGCUAGAGUGCCGUAGGGGUAGAGGGAAUUCCCGGUGUAGCGGUGAAAUGCGUAGAGAUCGGGAAGAACAUCGGUGGCGAAACCGCUCUACUGGACGGCAACUGACACUCAGGGACGAAAGCUAGGGGAGCGAAUGGGAUUAGAUACCCC